CUUUUUCCCGUUGUACUUAUUCUUUCAGUUUCUGCUGUUUUUUUUUUUUCACUAAUUAAAAAUGAUUCUGCUUAUCACUUUUCUUUAUUUGGAAUGGAUUUCUUCUACUGGUUUUCUGUCUUAUAUUGGAAAUAACAAAUAUGUAUAAUAUUGAUUAAUUGUAGUAAUUAUUAGUAUUGUUAUAAAAUGUUGUUCACUAAUUUGCUGUCAUUCUUGUGCUUCAAAAUUUUCUUGUACAAUAUUUCUGGCUUCUGCAUAUCUGAAAUACUAAUUUAAUUUCUAAGUUUUUUUUUUUUUUGAGAAAAUAAUAAUAGGGAAUAUAUUUUCUUGAAGGUUAAUUUUCACGAUUGGGACUUGCUCAGUUGAUAGAAUAACUUCAUAUUGAUCUCUCGAUGAAAAUGGGGCUCAGAGAAACUUAGAUGAUCUAGUUAUAGCUAAGCUUCAAAGGUCCGUGUUUGUGUAGAUGAUGAGUCUAUGAGUGAGUUCCUUGGUUGGGUAAUAAUAAAGCCCUUCCUUUCUUGCUAAUUUAUUAUAACAAGUCACACACUCAUACUCUGCAAAUACAGAAACAAAGAAAUUCCAGGAUCGACUACCAAAAGAAAAUAGAAUGGACUAAUUUAUGAGUUAAGAAUUGUGAUUGUCAUUCAAUAUUUUGUGUUCUUGAUAUAGUGGUAGAACAAUCAACCUUAUAUUAGCGAAAGGGGUAGAUUAAUUGGUAUUUGUUCGAGAGAACUAUAAUACUAAGCUCAAGUUUCUGUCAUGCUUCGUCGAUGAAGAAAAAUUCUUGCUUAUGUCAUUCAAUUCUUAAUUGAUGCCGUUUACAUAGUUGUUGUAGAUUUAGGAUCCGUUUGGCCAUAAGGAUUAUUCACUUUUUUCCGGAAUUUUUUUUCACUUUUUUCAGAAAUUACUGUUUGGCCAUGAAAAUUUCAAAUACAACUUGGGAUUUGGAAAAUAAGAAAAAACUUUUUUUCACUUUUUUCACAAUCAAAACAAGUACAUUUCAACCAAAAAAUACUAUUUGCAAAAACUAUGACCAAACACAACUCCAACUCCAACUCUAAAAUUUCCAAAAAAGUGAAAAAGUUUUUGGUUUUUAUGGCCAAAUGCCUACUUAGUUCCAACGUUCCAGACAAUAGUGUUCGGCAUCUAGCAGUAUGAAAUGAAAAAAUUGAGGUAUGUUAACUUAAGGUGUCUGCAAUUGGAGAUGAAGAACAACAGACGUUAGUCACUGAAAUUGGAUGUGACUAUGUGAACAUUUGAUGCCAUGUGAACUUCUUCUUUGUUCUUAUUGUGCAAUUUCCUACAACGAGUAUGUUCUUGGCCUCGGAAGCAGGUUAUUCUUACUCGUCAUCCAUAUCCAAGAUAUGGCAUUGUUAUUCCGUUUCCGGACAAUUUCUAGUCUUUUGCAGUAUUCUUGAGUUUUGAAUUGUGACGUCGUAUCUAAUAUCUCUACAAAGGAGGAUUGCAUGUAACGGUUAAGUAGUUAACAAAGUGACCCUUAGAUUGUUUAUCUUUUGCAGUGAUACAAACGAUCAUUCAAUCUAAUUAUAUUUAUUAUUUACCAUAUAGGAAAGUAAAGGGAUCAAGACUGAAAAUUACAAGUUUAUAUAUUAUUUCUUAGACAUGCGACUGAGAAGAUGAGUUCUAAAAAUUUGUAUUGGCUUUAAACGAACAUCAUUUCAGUUAUUCUAUCUUUAAAGCUGGCUUUCAUUUUCUUUGGAUCUUUGGUACUUGAAAGUUGUAUUUUCUUGUAUUUACUCUGUUUUAAGUUCCCAAGACAUCCUAGAGGAGCUCUAAAUAUAUCUCCUCUCGUCCAAAAUGCUCAGCGAUAUGUGAAGCAUUGGAUAUUAUGGAGCUCGCAACAAUUGGAUUCAAUGGCACCUAAAUUACUUGCCAUACAUGUAUAUUUUUUAUUCAUUUUCCUUUUGAGAGAAAUGAGUUUAUCCAUUUUUAUAUUGUUUAACAUAGAAUAGAAACCUCGAUAAUUCUGUAUUGUCAUGUAUCAUGGAUUUAUGACUAACGCACUGAGUAUUUAUACAGGUCGGCUGGGCUUGAGACGAGGCGUUCGCUAGACCAGCGGACAUCUCGAAUUGAAAACUACGCCUCAUGGGUGGUUAAUUGGUGUAUGAAUCAGAAGUUAUUCCAUCAUAUACAUGAUACUGAAGUAAAUAUGGCCUUCUUAACCAGCCCGGAUUUGAAAGUUGUGAAACCAUUAUCAGAGCACGGGAUCCUGGUCAGGUGCAAGACAUGAAUGUUCUGAUAGACCAACAACAACAACAUACCCAAUCUAUUCCCACAAGUGGGGUCUGGGCUGUGUGUAGUGUACACAGACCUUACCCGUACCUUGUGGAGAUAGAGAGGCUGUUUCAGGAAUUCCCUCGGCUCGAGUAACACAUAAUGUUCUGAUAGAUCCCAGAAAAAAAAAAUCCUUAUAUCCUAAUUCUGCAAGUACAAGAAUAUUGGAAAGUUUGUAUCUGAGGCUAUGACUUAGUGGUCAAUGAAGUGGAAUGAAAAUCAUGAAAGACGUCACACUUUGGUAGAGACAACAUUUUUCAGGAGAAUUUUGUUAAUCUACCUUAGCCUUGAUCCGCAGAGUUAUAAUUGGUGCUUGACGAAUUGGGAAUCUGAUUCUAUCACCUAGAAGCUGAUUUGAAACUUGUGGUUGGUUGUGAUAUUUUCAGACCAUUUAUUUUAGCCCGUCCUGCAUUUUUUCAUUUCUGGUGCCAAAUCAACUCUUUGAGUGUUGGUUAUUUAGUCUAAAUUGGCAAGAUAAUCUGCGUUAGGUAGCCAACGUUUGCUAGCCGUUGCUAGACUAACAAUUAAGUGCCUAAUUCUUGACUUUUGAUGAAGUUUUUGCCCCACAAGUACUGUGGAAUGCAAAAGUUAGAAAAUUGUGAGUUUUUAUAUAGCAUAUAGCAGCUUGUACACUGCCUCGUUGAUUCUUCCCCUUGUUCCUUUUAUCUUGGACAUUGAGAUGCUUCGUAGUUAUUAAAUCAAGAUUAUAAUAAGAAUUAUGAGUAUGCAAUAAUCAAUAAUUGUUUGGUGGGCUGCACAACAUACUCAGAUUACUAUAUAAAUCUCUACCAAUAUACUUCUCUUUCACCAUGUCAACUUCUUCUCUCAAUUACAAACUUCAGCUCUGCUACUUAUAGUUGCAGGUAUGCAACAAAAAAUUAGCUGUCCAAGCUUUGACACUGAUUGUGUCUGCAAUUUCUACAGAACACAAGACGAAUUGCCAGCCACAAUAUAUAUAGAUAGUGAUGCAAAACUUCCAGCUGUUGAGUCCUAAUGCUGGUGGGGUAAAAGAUUUUUCGGCCGUUAACAUAAAAUAAAGAGAUGGAGAAUUUAAUAUAGCAGUGUCACCCCCUUUUUCACCAAAUUCCUUUGGGAUGAGAAACGAGAAGUGGCUUGAAAAAUCAAAGUGACGUUUACGAAAAAGGUUAUUUCUCCCAUUGUUCCAAAGACCUAAAAUUUUUGGAGAAAAAGGGAUGUGACAGUUAGGAAGAAAAUUUUGGUGUAUAGAGUGGUGUCUCCUCUCCAAGCAAAAGAGACUUUAAGAUGGCUUCACAGACAAUGGUAUCAUAGAUCAACAAAUGUCCGCCAUCACGAACUUCAUGAUAUUGAAUCCAAGGAAAAGGAUCGCUAAGCUCCAAAGGAUCAAAAUCCCAUUUACUAAAUGCCACAAGGAAGUCGCUUCGGAGGUUGUUGAAAACACUCCUGCUCUUUAGCUUAUCCUGAAGAUGGAAAGUACAAGUUAAAACAAUAUGAUGUAUCAGCUAGUUUAGUAUGGAAAGAAAAGUUGCAUUAUCUAAGCUAAAGCUUAAAUGGACGACAAGGUCAGUGAGGAUCCAUAUAGCCGACCUCUACUUGUUUGGGAUUAAGGCGUAGUUACUGUUAUUGACCUUACCGCGGUAAGAAAUUGAAAUCCAGGUGCCUUCUUUAAAAGCUCCAAGUCCUUGUCAGUAAAAUAUGUAGGUCUUGUAUUAUCAGCAGAGGGGGAGGAAGACGUUUUUCGGAUCAACCACCAAUGCAAUAAUCUAGGAGCAUAUCUUGCAACCCAAGUCAUCCUUUUGUACCACCUCUUCCGGUUGUCGUCCUUUGUUAUAGAGUCCGGGAGAGAGGGCCAUUGGUAAUUGACAAUGGGAACCACAAAUGCCACCCCGGCUAACCUAGCAAGUUGAGAAACAAGAUCUGAAUUUACGUGGAUAUAAACGUACGAUUCAAUUUGA